GAUCUUUAGACCAGAGGGAAAAGAAGGUGAAAAGAAAAAGGAAAGACAGCUGAAAAGGAAAAUUCACCAGCAUCAGUCACUGAUGGAUGGAUGAAGCCCGGCCUGGGCAACUCUUCUGACAAUGCAGUAGUCAGAGCUACAAGGACAUCUCCUCCAGAAUUACCAACAAACCAGGAAUCUGCUUUGAGACCUGCAUGCGCUCUAGGGGCUGCCUUUAAAAAACCAAGGACUAAAAGCUGCUGCGAUGCUGAGGUAGCGCAAUCACACAAUCAGCACUCUAGUUCCUCAGCGACCACCACCACACCAAGCCCUGGGGAAACUGUGAGCGAAAAUGCC